UCAAACCUGCAUCCUCCCAGAGACAAUGUCAGGUCCUUAACCCGCCAAGCCACAACAGAAACUCCUCAUCAUUUUUUAAAUUAAUUUUUUUCAUUUUAAAGAACUGUAUCCUUGAAGACUUGAUGUGAUCUGUCUCACACCCGUUCAACAAGUGUGUUUCCUCGGUUCAGAGUAUUGUGUAUGCCUUUUGGUUUCCAAUGUGUUGCUCUGGUUCUGGAACUGACUGAACAAUCCAGUGUCUAAACACAGGGCCAGAACUAAGGUCAACUCAUAUCUUCCCCAGCUGUGCGGUCAGGUUCCUGGUGGUUGCUGGGGGAUAUUGUGGAUUCCUGAUGACUUUCCUGCCUUUAGUAAUAAGUGGGUUUUUUUAAAUAAGGAUUUUUAAAAAUCGUAUGGAAGCCAAUCUUGCUUGAGCUGCAUAAUGAUUAGAUAUAUGCUUAUUACAUAGCAGGCUUUUCAUCACUCCUAGUUAGGGCCUAAAUAGAUAGGGUAUAAAUAUGGGCAUCAGACCAUGCUUACGUCUGCUCCUGUACUGAACAGGAGAGCUUAUAAAUACGCAGAGCUAUAUGACCAAAAGCACAAUGUGAUUUGAAUAGGCUCUCCACCCCCCAGGCUUUUACUGGAACAUUAUUCAUGACUGGUUUCCAUUAAUCACUGAAUGAAGUUUUGUUUCUUCCCCUUACUGUUACAGUGUUGUCUCUGCUGAUGACAACAUGAAUUGCCACAGGCCAGAGCUUGUUUAUAUUAUGUGUGCCAUUUCUCCAGUUGAGUACAUAGUCAGUACUGAAUGGUAAAUUAAAGAUUCCCAAAAGACAAGCAUACUUGGCUCCAUUAUAUUACUAUGAUGAAUCUGCCAUUAAUACGGUUCUAAUUGUUUUACUUUUAUAGACAUAAAAUCAGUCCCCUUAGUGACUAAUAAUAGGGUUUAUUGAUUUUACUCGACAUUAUUCAUUCCAGCCCUGCUCCUAUCAGCCUGUCCUGAACAUAUGCAAAAAGCCUGCAGUGCUGACACAGUGCAAAUUAACUUCAUGGAGAAAUGAGAAUGAAGAGUUGUUUACAGCUGUGGUCCCAGCGAAUACAGAAUAUUAAAAACAAGGAGGGGAAGACGCCUUUCUGGGACGCAUUGAAUACUCACUCCUCAAUCAUCAUGGAGAAGAAGACAAGAAUGUCAGGACUUCCUCAGGCUACGAAGGCAAGCAGGCUGCACUCUGGAGAGAAAAGAGGAGCUCGAGACCAUCCUUCCUGGAACAGAGAUGGAGCUGGCGGGAUGGUAAGGGCACUGGAGCAUUAGGAAGAGCACGCGCUGGGCACCAGUAUUCCAAGGUUGACACAUAUAUGCUCUACUUGCUUUGUCUAACAUAUCUCCCAGUCUAUCAGCUCUUUUAAUCUUGUUGUGGCGGCAAGGAGACAAGGACCUGCAGGAUGAGGCAACCACUCUAGGAUAUGAAGGGAGGUCCUGGGCACAGAGUGGACAAGAAUCGUCCUGGAGAACAGAUACAGCCAAGCUCUAGAUGGAAGUUGAGUGGGAGAAGUUUGCAAGGUAGGAGGGGAAUAAAAUAGUACAUUUAGGAUUGAAAGGCGCUGCUGCUUUUAAUUAAUCAUUCAGUCUUUGCCAUAAGCUUGACUUAACUCCCUGAUAUGCCUUAUGCCAGUUAUUCCUUGUGUAUUUCCUCCUGCUUCUUUGAAUGGAUUUGGGGCGACAGGCUAUUAUACAUUUUUUUUUUUUUGUCUUUUUGCCAUU